AGUAUUAGUUGUGUGGUCUCCUCACUGCCAGAGGAGUUGCAUGCCACAUAGAUUCCAAGCUUGCUGCAUCUCGCUAUGUAAGUAUUAUGUCGAGAAAAAAGAUGAGUUUCAUGCUGAUUUGACACUCUUCAUGCUGUGGGUGUCUCAUUGAUAUUUUCAAGAUGUCAGCAGUCAAACAAGCUCCCAAAAACAUUGUCCUUUAAAAAAAAAAGUAGGUCAGAUUCUGUCGUGUUGCUUUCUUUGUUUUCUUUCAGGAGAGAUGUUGAAUGACUCCAUGACUCCAGGACAGGAAAGAAGGCCCCAGUGUGACGGGGAGGGACAGAAGCCACCAUGAGUGAACCGUGAGAGUAGCCUAGCCAUGCUACACCCAUGUUUCUGACGGCACAAGGGUCUAGGGAAGCUCGACAGGGAGGGAGGCGGGCUAAAAGGUUGUCUAUCAAAUCCCUCUGCAGCAAUUGGGUAGGUAUACAACCAAUCAACACAACGAAUAGGCUGACGUAGUUCCGAGAGCACCGGCGGAUUGUGGCUAAGUCCCAUUAGCUUCCCAACCAGCGGAGCCAACUGGUAUUUUAAGGAUUUGCCAUAUCCCGUCGGCAUAAGUCCAAAUACGUCUUUCUUCUCAAUGAAACACUUCAGUGCCGUCCUUUGUUUAUCUUUCAAGUUGAAUUUUAGCUUCAAAUCUUUAAGGGCUGUGGCCAAAGCCGAGUCGAAAGAUAACUGUUUAUUGUGCGCUGGUUGUUUCUGUCAAAAUCGUCACGCCUCUGUCGUCACUUAGUUACGCCCGCCUUCUGACUCUACACUUCAUGGUGAUUGGUCCGGCCAGUUUUAGGAGCAUCCAGCCUCGAGCCUUAUGGAGGGUAACUAGACCCACCCUGGCAGAGAAUUAAAUUCGUUGCCGUGGGUUGUCUAGCGCGGCUAGGCUACCGUGAGAGGAUAAGGAAGAGGAACGACAUUAUAGAGAGCAUGGAGCUUCCUCCUAGAUCCCACACAAUAAAAAAAAAGUAAUAAGAUGAGAGAUGAGGGAAGAGUCCCAGAAAAUGAGCCACAGCACCAGGAUAUGAGGAAAAGUGACGCAAACUGAUCCAGGACCAGCACAUGGCAUGUCUGACAGCUCAGUUUUGCUCUCUUCAAGACAUCCAACAAUCAGAAGGAUCAAAUCAGGACAGGGACCCAGAUGGAGGACAGCCCACAGGAUAGGAAUCCACUUUUAUGGAUGAUCCAUCCAGUAGCUGUUCCUGCUUUAUCUCAUAGAGGGACGCAGGAGCUGGAGGACAUCAGUCCAUCACAGAGCUACACAAGGGAAGACGACAAUUCAGGCCCACAUUCACACAUUCAGAAUUACAGGUUAACCUUCCAUGCAUGUGUUUGGAUUGCAGGAAGAAGCUGGAGCCUGUGCAGAGAACUCAGCCAGGUCCAGAGAGAACAUGAAGUCCACACAGACAGCUGGCAGUGCUAAUCGUUGCAUCCAUUUCUUUUUUGUUUGUUUCUCUUUCUAACACCAUUUCAAAAUUUUGUAGGACAAAGAAACAGUGAAAGGAGCCCCAGGAUGAUCAAACAUGGAAGGAUCCGUCCGGGAUGAGAUGACGAAAAGCCCCAAACACGAGAGUGAGACCUGGGAAACGAAAGAACAACAGCUCUGGUUAAAGCUGCUGUCCGGAGUUUCCGUUUGUUUUCAAUUUAUGUAUCAUUUUUUAACAAAGCUUAAAUGUGUUAGUCUAGUUCGAUACUAUAAUAUAAAGUUAGUAUAACGCGAUAUGAAAAUUUAUUCCUGAGCUCCGCCUUCCUCUCAUAGACCCCCAUGUUAUUCCAAAAAGCGCCGGUUGCUGCCGACCAAUCAAGUUCGAGCUUCAGCUUUGUCAUGCUGUCAAUCAACGGUUACGCGCACAGCAAGCAAGCCCAUGCAGAGGUGGGCGAGCUACGCACUACGCAACCGCGCGCACAUUUGUUUUGCUUGUGGAGGAGAGAGCAUCAGGGAUCAGCAACUUCCAGAAAAGUUACCAGUCCCACGGCUUGUCAGGCCAAGAGACUGCAGGACGUUUUUUGGCUCGGGGUGCUCGCGUCGCUCCCCGACCACGGCCUCCAUAGCCCGCCUGACGGCUUCGUUUAGAUGCCCGACCUCUGGAGGAAGAUGUUGGGGCGUCUGGGACAUACUCUUUGUCAGAGGAGUCAUGCAAUUCUGAACUCUAGAUAGAAAUAAAUAAACAAUGUAACACAUAUACACACGUAAAUGCACUAAGUUUGAUAAACAACGUCAUCGAGAGGGAUACACGAGUGUAAUCACAUAUUCAAACUUUACUCGUUCGUCCUAGCAGAUUCAUGUUAUUUUGGUAUUAGGACAAGUUAGACUCAAUACAGCAUUCUAACGUAAUUCCUUUAUUAUUUACUAAAUGUACUAAAUGUAGAAGAGUGGAAAACAGCAAAACAGGCGAGAUGCUGCAGCACUCCGGGCACUUCUCUCAUGUACUGCGCGCGUGCACAAAUAAAGGGGCGAAAUCAGAGGGAGGGAGGGACCACCAGUGUUUUGGGAGACGCUGCGAUUCAAACUCCGGACAGCAGCUUUAACUCCAAAGGUAACCAUUCUAAAUUAAAAUGUCUCUACAGACACUGUUACAGCUCUAAAUUGGGUGACAUCCUGAUAUCUUGAGCUAUAUUCCUUGGAAUGAAAAGAUGAAUUGAAACACUGUACUGCACAAUUUAUGCGUUUAUGUGCUAACUUGUUUUUGUGUUUCAGCUGGUGCAGGACCUCUGUUGCGCUUCCUUCACCCCAACCGGUCGAGGCAGACGGCCGCCCUCCCUGAGCCUGGUUCUGCUGGAGGUUUUUCCCUCCCUGUUAUCAGGGAGUUUUUUUUCCUCCCCGCUGUCGCCUAGUGCUUGCUCAAAGGGAAUCCAAAUAAAACUGGAUUUGUUGGGUUUCUCUGUUGAUAAUUGUUUUGAUUAAACUGUCAAAAAGAGAGAACUUAAAAUGAAAACUCUGUUUCUUUUAAAGUUUUAUGUUAUGACACCUUCCUUUGAUCUUAUAAGUUGAAGAAGCAUGUUUUAAUGCAUCACCUGUAUGCAAAGGUCCAAACCUGGUAACGUGAAAUGUCUCAGAGGCCCUGUGCACGUAGAUGAUCAUGCACAUUUACAUAUAGAAAGCUCAACAACAAGAAUGACUGAAAACAGGUCCCCUGAAAGUUCCCUUGAAAGCUUUUUUUAUUUAUUUAUUUUUUUAAAUUUUUCAUCUCAGCUACUUUGAAAACAUUCCGACAGAAGAGCCGAGCACUUCGAUGUGUUUUAUUAGUUUGGUCAGUGUGCCUGCUUUUCACAAAGAAUACAUGAUGAAGCUACAACUUUCUGAACAAGUUCAUUUAAGGACUUUGGAAAGUUGCACUUAUGUCAAAAACCAAUUUUCACAUGUAACUACUUUUUCAUAUCUUCCGAGGUAUGACUCGCCGUCAGAAAAACAGAGUCUGAUUGAGGAAGGAAGGAAAGUAUGAACCAGUGUGUCGCAGGAUAAAGACCCACAAGGUCCACAGAGCAGUCUGCUGUGAUUGGGUCCAUUAAACAGACAGUAUAUCUGUGCUAUCUACACAACGGUUUAAUAAAUUAUUCAUCAUAGGUUUUUCUGUAUUGCUGUCAAUUUACAAGUGCUUUAUGUUAACAUGUACAUAGCAUUUUAACUCCGACUGCUUUGAAUUUGGGCUUUAAUAUAAAAAGAAAAGCGAGAAGCUAUGAAUAUGUGUUCACUGGGGUAAAACAAGCUCUGCUCGUCCACACGAUGCGGAAUGUAUAUCCUUGUCGAUAUUUUUCAUGAACUUUGCUUCUGUCUUUGAUAACAUAUCUAACCAUUUGAUGUGUAGUCAACCACGUAGGAUAAGAGGCUGCCUUUUCCUGUCAGUUGACAUCAUUCCUCCAUUUAAUCUCUAUCAAAGAGCACAAAAAGCAGACUGCUGACCAAAAUCUGGGCAGCAUCAUAAGGGUCUGUAUAGUGCAAAACAGUCUUAUCACUAGAUUCAGAAUUCAUCUCAGUGCUAUUAGGCUGCCAUAUUGAAUAAGAAAGAUAUAAUUCAGAUCAUAGGAUUGACAUUAAGGUUGACAGGAGGCCGGGAAAAAAUCCCAGCAAAGUGCCAGUUCUCUAUUGUUUAUCAUUUCUAAUGGAAUUAUUUAGUGAAUGAGAAAAGCUUUGAGGUCACUUCUUUGAAAAGUUUCCAACUCAAAGUUGUGCUAAUAUAUUUCAUUCGUUUCAUAUGCUAUGAGAUAAAAAAAUAAAUAAAAUGACAGACUGCGCUUUCUGCCAGUGUUUGAAGGUACGAGCAGGCGUGAAUUUAUCAACAACAGCAAAGUGAUGGGAAGUUUGAGUCAUAAGAACAACAGAAGAGAACACAUUUUUCCUCCGCAAAUGGGCUGAAUAAUAUUUUAAAUACAUGCUUUUGCAGGCCAUACAAAAUUACUAUACAGAUGGGAAUAAAAGGUAAAGUGCAAAUGAGAGAAAAUGUAAUGAGUCUGCACGACUACAUUAGCUAAGAUUUUAGUAAUGAAUGAUUUAUUACACUCAUGCUCUCAUAGGCCAACGUUUGUGCUAAAUACAGUAAGUUUAUGUAAGCAUGUAACAGGCAGAAAAGAAGGAUUUGAAUCUGAAAACUAAAAGUUCUCUUCCUGUUGCCGCAGGGCUGCCAAUGUGCAAAAGCUGUUGAAUGACAAUUUAAGUUUCCCAAGACAGGCUUCAUCAGUCAAUCUGCUUGGACAGGCUGAGGAGUGAUAUUGGAGAAUGUGUUACAAUUUUCAUACUUAACAGCGUUAGUGGCAGCAAAAGCUGUCUGCGCCACCAGAAAUGUGAAGGCGAGGACUCACCGAGAUGCAGCUACUUGGAGGAAAACUUUGUUGUUGUGCUUAAAACCUGCCAGGAUCAAAGACCCAAACACCGACUGCCAUUGUCGCUCUCUGGCAUCACCGUGUUGCUGAGGUAGAAAGUAGCAUCCUGGCAUGAAAUUGUCAUAAAGCAACUACUCCAAAAUCUGCUCCCACUCUCUAACUUUGGAACACUACAGUUGUAGCUGCAAGUGCACAAUCAGGCUCAGUAAUAUCAUGCAUUUCAGUCCAACGUCACGGUUUUAUAUGAGUUUCAGAUUUGCUAUAAAUAAUUGAAUCCUAAUUCCACUGUAAUUUGUAAUAAUGAAGUAUGACGUUUUUGUCUAAUGUGCAACAAAGGGGAAAAUAUCAGCUACGGCUGCUGGUUUAAAAUUCCUACUGAUGUUAGAAUGUGGAAAAAAUAUGAACACGUGGCUGUAAAAAAUCAUUUUAUACAAGCACAACAGGCGCCGCUUUGAAUUCCAGCAGCAGCCAUUCCUAAACAACAGUGUCUGUCCUUUCCAUUCUUUGUUGCCUUAUUGGUUAUUAGGCUUUUGUUUGUGUUUUUGCUAACUCAAAGUGAAGAAAAUGCCGGAGUCAUGAAGAGAACAGUGUCAUGCCAAAAAAUUUAAAGAGAAUUUUAAAAUUUGUGUGUGAGAGUUUAUCGGAUUUGUCAUCAUAUACUGAAAAAUUGUGGUUAAACUUAAGGCUGUUUGCCGCACAUCCCAACCUUAAUUGAUCGGAACAAGCUGUGUGUUAGUUUGAAUCCACUCAAACUUAAUUUCUUAGACAACAAACCAACAGUACAUAAAAGUAGACAUGCACUGAAAGAGAUCUAAACACGAUCACCGAUUUCAGAUGUUUUUAAAAGAAAACCACAAGAAAUAGUAGAAAACAACAUUUCCAAAGAGUAUCGCAUCAUAAAUAGUUCAUGCUAUGUUUUCUUUGAACUUCUUGGCAUUCCUUCAUUGUUUUCCUGCUGUGUGUAGCUCCCUCAUGUAAACAUUUGUGUGUGCCGAUUAGUGGUGGUUCAGCAAUUUACUCAUUUUUGACAGAAGAUGACCAACAAGGAAAAUGAAGCUAAACAGUGGCCAAUUUGAGUGUGUAUAUGAAUCCAUAUGUAAAAAUUUAGAAACCCCUCGGGAGAGCUGCGGCCUCGCCUUCGACGUUGGAGAACAGUCAGAGACGAAGUGGGAUCUCCAAGAGCAGCAGACCCGAUCGAUGGCUCUUUGAUCGUCUUGCGCUAGCUCUCUUUUCUCCUGCCUCAGCUCACCAGGGGGGGAAACGGGCUUCUUCAUGUGAAUCGUAACCAUCAGAAAUGGCUUUGGUGAGAUGUUGGUAAGCUGCUGGUUGAGCCCCGUCUCACUCAUUUUGGGAACACAACCACUUUCUGCGCUUUACCUCAUGCAGCUCAGAAUGACAGGGAUCACUCUGAAUAUAUGUGCACCAAAAUGUAGCUGUGGUCUGCCGCUGCCAAGGGAAUGCAUGUGUCAUCUACAGUUGCUGCAAUUCAGAAUGACAUUUCUUCCAAAAGAUUGCCCCUGAGCAAACAUGCCAUGUUUGUUUACACAUGAAUAACCCAUCACUCUUCAUGCCUGUUCAGUACGUCAGUGACGAUAGUCCCAACUGUUGAACCAUAUACAGGUUGUGCUCUGUACAGAACAAGAAAGACUGUUUAUUAAUACAGAGUUCAUAUCUAAAGGAGCAGAAAAAGGUCAAUAAAUGGUUACUAUCUGAAAGAAA